UUGGCCAUUUCUCGUCUGCGUGGAUACACACUCUACUCGCCUCCACGAUUGCCGGCCCUCCACUCCCCGUACACGCACGUGAAUUUACACACGCCGUUCACAAAUCGUCCACACACACACACGCAAACAAGGGGGUCGUCUCUGUCCCCUGUAACUCUCCAUUCCGUCAGAACACUAAAAAAGGGGUGUAUAUAUAUAUAUAUAUAUUUGCUUCUCGUCGUUGCGUGCGCAUGUGCGCCCGCACACCUGCGAGUCGCAAUAAUAUCACGGCUCCCUAAGUCUCUAUUCUCGUUCGUUGUUGGACCUUUUUGCCCCGCAUCUAAAGCCAAGCAUUCCAUCUACCUAUAUGUAGGUGAAACCAUUGGCCGCACACCUGCGAGCAACCAAGAAAUAAAAAAAAGAGAGGACAGCAUACACAGCCACGAACAAAAAAAGAAGAGAUACGUAGAAGCAUUCGUUUUGCUCUGUAACCUUUUUUUUGACCCCCUUUUUUUCCUUGCCCCGUAGGUGCGUCUGUGUCUGGGUUUUGCGCGCGCGGGGUGCGGACGGGUGUCUGAUUUUGUUAGCAACCCGCUUCAUCCUUUGCCUCCCUCUCUUCCACCCCUGCCCCUCAACCCUCCCUCAUCAUACGUGUGUUAACUGCCAUUUGCUUUUUCUGUUUUGUCGCUUGCGCUCUCUCUCUCGUUUGUGUUGCUGUUGGCGUUGCUGGUGCCUUGUUUUUUUUUGAGUUUCGUGAUCUUCCUUUACGUUGUUUCACGCACCCCAGCGUGUACACUACUUUGGUCCUCUUUCCUCCCCCCCCGCCUCUCCCUCCUUUCCCCUGUCCGCUGCUUCCCUGGCCUAACCUCUCGCCACCUCUGCCUCCCCCCCCCACUGUGGCAACUCUGCGCAGAUAAGCGAGAAGACAAAGUGGCGUUGCUAUGAGACGCGUAUCUAUCUGUGUCUUGGGCUCACUUGUAUGUUUGCGUGUCCUGUUUAGUCUUUCUCUUUAAAGCUACCUUCCCACUGAUUCGUCUGCGUCCCCUCCCGCUCCCCGCAUCCACCUUGCCGCGAGCACCCCCUCGUGUGCUCUUGGUGUGCCUGCCUGUAAAACGUAGUGAUUGUGUGUGUGUGUGUGUUUUGCCUGUCGUACUCCUCUGUGUUCAAGAGGCAGAGAAACGGAGAAAAGACUUUGUUGGUGAGCGACUAGACUUUUCUGUUCUGCUUCUGCGCGUGUGUCGAGCUCUUACUUGUUUUGUUCGGUGUCGGCCCCGGCUUUAGUUUAAAAGUUACUUUGUUUGCCGGUGCGUGCGUGUUUGUUCCUCUUUUUUUUCUCUCUGGGACUUUUUUCUUUUUGUUAUUGUGUGUUUUGUGCUUCUAUUCGCCUUUUCUUCUCCCCCCCUUCUGUCUCUCUUAUGGUCUUUGUUUCAGCAGCAUCAACAUCAGCGCCACCUCCCCUCUCCUUUUUUUCCCGCCGCUGUUCGUUGUUUGCUUGCUUUUUUCCUCUGUUCGGUUUGUGCUUGACGUGAAUUUCUCGUGUUUUGCUUUGCCGUUUUUUUGCGUUUUUCAUAUUUUAAUAUUUGGAUAUAUUAUUUUGUUCGUCUUUGUCGUUUUCGUUUUUUUCUUUGUACGCGUGUGUGGGGGUCUUUUGUUUGCCCCCCUCUCUCUCGCCGGCUUAGUCAUUCUUACGACGACUACGACUUCCAACGCGUCCGAGCACUCACAGCUUCCGUACAAACAGGAACACUACAGCGUGUGCCAUUGGUUUUUCCCCUUCGCUUGUGCCGCGCAGUUUCGUUUCUUUUUGGUUUUUCUUUUUCGGUGUGUGUAAAGUGUAAGCGUGUGUGUGCGUAUGUGAUUGCUGUUUGCUUCUGUCUGUACGUGUCAUUACGCUAUCUACUCCCUCCCCAUCAAGACAAAACGCCGGUAGCGGCCAGGAAGGGCGAAAUACGGGCAGCAGCAGAGAAAUCUAACAGCACACACGUCUCGAACCCGUACGGCUGACCGUGGGAGAAAACAUAACGAAGCAACCGAGCAAACGAACGAGAAAAAAAAAGAAACAGAAGCGACACGCAGGCAAGAAGAGCAGCGACAUCUGCCGAGAUACGAUAAAUCGAGACGGGAAUGAAGAGAGGCAGAGUACAACAACGAACUCUCAACCGCUGUAUCUGUGUCUUUGCCUCCUCUCCUUCACCUCCUCAGUGAUCCUCUACGUCUCUUGCUAUCUCUCUCGGUGCGUCGGCCUUCUGUGCUGCGAUCAUCUGGUGUGUGCUUGUGUGUGUGCGCGCGCUCUCUCUGUCCCCUUUUGUCUGUUCGUUUUCUUUUUUUUACACCGAUCUCCGCCAAAUCCAUCUGUAUUGUUUCUCGUCCUUGUACUUGACCCCUCAACGCAAUUCCGCCCACCUCUCCCACCCCCUCCCUCCGUCUCUACGCCUUACCAUAAACGUUGAUAUAGUAUCCGAUUCUUGUCCCUCUCUCACUGUAUUUCUCUUUUCGUUUUUUUUUGUUGUCUCGUACGACGCCGCUCCCAUCUCUCCAUCCUGUGUUCGCCCUUCCCUUCCCUUUCCCCUUCUUUUCGCUUUUUUAAACCGUCUGGCGCCUCUCAUUUGUUUAUUUUUCAUCUUUUCUCUCUUCGUCGUCUUGCACUCUCUACCACUUCUAUCUGGUGUUCCUCCUUUGCUGCGACCUCCUCCGGGGGCUCGCGCGGCAUACGCUACUGUCUUUUUUUAUGGGGUGAUCGUAUUUUUCCUUUUCCUUGUGUCGCGCUCUUGAGCCGUGCGCCUCUAAAGACUCUCUAGCGCGCGUGUCUGUGUACGUCUGUGUGUGUGUGUGUGUGCAUGCUUGCGCGUUGUAUACCCCCUCUUCUCCGCGCUCGCAUCUCCCACUCAGCACCAUCCACCACCACCUCGCUCUUUUUUUUGGUCCUGUCUAAGCAGCGUCUUUCCUUUUUUUUUUGCUUUAUUACUUUCCGUUUCUUCACACGAUUCUGUCGCCCUUGUAAACGCAGAGGCCUGUGUUCAGGCAUCCCCCCUCCCCCUCCCCUCCAAACCCCAUUUUUAUCCACUCUUUCCACACACAUUUCUUUUUGUUUGCUUCAUGUGUGUGUAGAUUUCUCUGCCCCGUCGAUCUUUAUUUGUUUGCUUCUCUCUCUGCCUUCAGUGUGACUGUGGAGACUCGGGCCCAUUUUGGCCGACCGUCAGCUACCUUUCACCUUACGCCCCAUCUCCUGAUGCGUGUCGGAAUCCGUUUCUCUCUCUGCAUUCUCGCUUCCUUCACGUUGUUUGUAUUGCCGCAUCGGGUGUGUGUGUGGCGGUGUCGCAAUUCAGCGUCCCUCAGUGUCGUCUCUUGCGCAUACUCCGUAGCUAAACUCACCUGCUCGCGGACCAAUCCCCUUUGCUCGGAGCCAUCUGGACGCUGUCUUGACUGACAAGUGCACCCACAGGCACCGACAGCAUUUCGAGAGGCAUAUUCGCGAUCACUGAAAGCUGGCCGUCUUCGGCACGUGCGAAUGGGAGGCGCACUGUGCAUGCUCCAGCCUCAUGCGAGCAACCACCGUGCUCAGCCCGUAGCUCCUCAGUCCUUUGCUCAAGAGCCAGAUGGCACCUCCAGGGACGUCUCGCGGCUCGACUCUGCCGCGCCUCCGGAUGCGCCCGUUGUGCCAGGGCCGCCGGCGUUGAAGAAUGUAGGGGCAGCGGCGCGGGCUCAUAGCAUAGUGUCGAGCUCGGACGCCACGACGUGCAAGAACUCUGUCAGUAGUUACCCGCACUCUGCGCCGCGCGGUUUCGUUCGACCAUUGUUUCCCUCAUCCUCUUCGUCCAUAGCGAAUCCGCAGUCGACGCGAGCCCCGUCCCACGUGCCGUCGAUCGGGAUGGUGGAAGCCACAGCAACGGCGAUGCCGCAUUCCGUGUCCUCGAUGCCGGAGAUGGAGAUGUCCGUGAAUAGCUCGUGUAGCGCCUUUUCCCUCUACUCCGCCGAUAGCUCGAUGCGCGAGUUGCCGCUCCCGCCACCACCGCUCUUGGAGCGCGCGACGCCUCUGCAAGCGGUAGCAACCGCAGCGGCAGCGCCAGCAGCGCGCAUGAAAGCAUCCAACAAUACCGCGCUGUGCCCCAGCGCCAUUUCGAGCGCGUCUCUCAUGGCAACAAGCCUUUUGCCGAACACCGUCACCCCGCCCACGACGCUGCCGGACAUAUCGAUGUCCGCGAGGAGCUACUUCGUGCCACAGAACUUCCGCAAACAAAGCGGCGGAACAGCGAGCAAAAGCCAUGGCAGGACGCCAGAAAGCGAUCCUGCGCAGGCGGCUGCAGGAUCCUUCGCGGCAUCGUCUUCAAUGACGGCUGCCGCAGCCGCGGCGCACAUCGUGUCCAGUGCCUUGCUUGACAUCAGCUUCGACUCACGUGCUUUUGCCGUCAACGAUGCAGUCACCUCCACGGAAAUACAGCGCCUGGGCGUUCGACUUCUGGAGCUGCACCGCGGGCACCAUGAGCUGGGUGCGGCUCGAGAAGUCUCAGCUCUAUUAUCCUCAAGAAACAGUGGCGGCAAUAGCGCCUCAAGUACGCAGAAUCUUUUUUCGGAUGCCUCAAAGGGCAUCAGUGAAGCCCUGCCAGGUGCGUCCACGGCGUCCCUCGAGUCGUUGCCGAAGUCGGUCGAGUCUUCGUUGUCCGAGCAGGAGCUGGCGCGCAAGCAGCUGCACGACGAAGCGGUGAAGUUUGUGAACCUUAUUCAAGAAAUGCACGAGGCGCGUGCAGCUGGGCAGGCAGGCUGCACGUGGUUUCGCUGUGGAGCAGUGCCACCUAAUACGAGCAGCAGCAGCAGCGGCGGCGGCGGGCCCGGUGAGGUAGGGGCGGGGAGUAGCGAUGAGACUGGUGCAUCGCCGCCACCGGUCUUGGAAAAGGCACCGCUGUCUGGAAACCGUUGUGAAGAUGUGCCAGUCGGCAGCUCUGCCAAUUACGUGCGCCACCGCACUUUGCUGCGCCGGCGUGAUCGCGCUUCCACGCGUGUCCAGUGGCUGCCGUUCGAGAUGCGCGAAUCGGACUUUCGGACAGGCACUUCCAUCACACCAGUGUGCUUCUGCGGCUACCAGGCCACAGCUGUGCCCGCCGACGGUGCUGGCGCCACACACGGCCGUGAGCACUAUCCUGUCACGGACGUGGACGUACUCACACCACACUCGCAACACUUGCUCGAGGUGGGAGCGUCGUCUGCAGUCACGCUGUCGGUUGCCGACACUCCACCACUGCCGUACAUCACCCCCUUGGCCCGACGCACCUCCACGCUAGGCGCGGAUGUCGACAAGGACAGCACACAUUGUUUCAACGAUUCCAAAGGACCCCUCAGCUCCAGCGGCGGCACCAUCACCUCCACCUCCUCGCAUUCCUUCUCGAGCGACAGCAUAUCUUUCUGCCCCAUUCACGUUGCGCACCGUCCUGCCAGUAUUCUCGUUCCCGCGAAGGGGAAGCAAGGCGAGAGCACCAUCCGCCCCUCGCUGCCGCGGCGACCUCUGCUGGAGCCGACGCAAGUAGACGUGCCGGCGACCGCCACGACUGGGUUGGUCCCUGCAAAGGUUGCUUCAGCACAUUUACCGCUCUUUGACCCGCGGCGUCGAACUGGUGACGGAUCUGCUUGUGAACCGGGUCGGCGGACGAUUAUCAACGCCGGGGUGCCGCACCGCAAGCAACUGGCCAAGAGAGCGCUGGAGGACAACAAGCUGUUCUUUGAAAUGUUCUCGCGGCAGAAGAGUUUCUCCUAAGGUCGGAAAACGAAAAACCACCUGUGUGCGCGGAUGUGUGCACAUCAAGACAGGCGUUGCGGCACGAAGACCUCGAAACGUGUAGUAUUGCUCUCGUCGUGAGACACUAGUCGGUGGCGGAGAGGCUAAAGAGCCUGGGAGACAGAACCGGUUGACUGGUAUUCCCGGUGCUUCUCUCACGGAUAUGCUUGUUGUGUUUUUUUUUCUUUAUUAUAUAUUAUUAUUUCAUUGAUUUCCGUCUUUUUCUUCGUCAAUGUCACGGUUUUCACCUCUCUCUCCUUUACUUGCAGAAACUUGAAUGCUUUGUGUGCGUGCGUGUGAGAGUGCGUGCGUGUGUGCGUGUGUCUCCCUCUUUUCUUCACCUGCUUGCCGCGUGUGUUCCAAUAUCUUGCAUACAUCCCUCUCCCCCUUUCUCUAUAUAUACCUAUGGUUAUAUAUCUCGGUAUACACACACAUAUAUAUAUGUACUAUAUAUGUUUCGAGGGUUGGGAUGUUUUUGAGUUUUAAAUUUCCGGUUCCUCUUUCUCGGUCCAAUACUUCACCAGCCCGCUUCACCGCACCCGCCUGUGUCUCCUCACUCACGCCAGGGAGGCUAUCCUGCAUAGCUGGCGCGGGAGUUGCACACGCGGGAUGUGAUGGUGCUAUCGGCCAGCGGCUUAGAAGCUCUCAUAUGGGUCAGCAGGCAGUGGCCCGCCCGUUUUGCGGAGUUCUUUCACUCGCUGUGAGCGGAUGGUGCGGUGCACGCAGACAUCAAGUUUCGAGAACCCACGAUGCGCUAUGGUGAUAGUCUUGGACUUGAAUUCCUGCGAAGCCGACUUCAUGAGCCACAACAUCGAAACGACUGUGACUGCGGCAAAAGACUCGCUGUCGCCUCCCACGGCGCUCGGCACGGGCCCUGCAACAGAGGAGGACGACAUGCGGCGACAUACUUGGGCACCAACGGUGGCGUCUCGAGCCGGCCACUUCCGCUUCCCACUUCGCUUUGUGCGUGUUUUCUGUGAACUGGAGCACGAGAACGACGUGGUUAAGACAGCAAAGCCAGCCAUGCCAGAGGCGCCGACGCCAGCUGCAUGGAUCGCCGACCUCGUCACUGGACUCAGGCGCAAGGACGACAUUUCUUCAAAAGCUUGCUACACGAUGCGACACGCGACGGAAACGAGCUGCUUGGCAGCAGCCGUCCCUCACCAGAAGUGCAGGGAUGAUGAGCUUACCAGCCGACAGGAGACUGUGCUCACCCAGUUCUGCGCCGGCACCUGUCCGCACUUCGGAUUCCUGCCGCGGCGGGUGGCUGGUAGUGGUAGCAUGGGGUGCAGAUGGCGUUCUGCCUACUGCUGUGCUAGCAUUUUCGAAGUCCCAUUUCCCGCCCGCGCUUUCCUAGGAGGGCGUCCGCCCCGGUGCUGUGCCCCGCAUGCUACGCGAUAUUCGCGGAUCGCUCGAGGCUCAGAGCACACCGCGUUGCACGCCAUGGUCGUGGACGCAGUAGUGUGAUUGCACUCAUCUCGCCGGCGCUGCACGGGCUUCCCCCGUCGGGUAUUUGUCGCUGCCCUGUGCACCCCUUCAGAAGAACGAGCUACGCGUUUUUUUUGUGCGCGGGCAUACACCCAUCAGCGUGUCCCUUCCGGCUGGGCCCACCCGCACUUAUGCAAGCCGCGCGGCCUCGGGAGAAGGUGGAGUGCCCCCUGCUGCCUCACACUCACGGCAGCGUCCGGCCUGUCGCGGUGCGUGCGGGCGGGACAACCAGCCACGGCCCCUCCCUGUGGCAUCGACGGAAAGGGAGUGCGAGUGCAGCGAACCCCCUCCCCGGACAGCAACGUCGUGCUGAAGCAAAUCCCAAGGUCGGAAAGUGCGAGCACGCUGCAGCAUGCGCUGCCAGCCACAGCUGGCGUGCUGCGCCACAUCCAGUCACGGCAUGCAGAGGUCAGCCGAGCAGGAGUGAUGGGCGAAAGCGGCGCGAAGAGAUCCAUACCGAUCGACGCCGAGGCGCACGCGUGCGCAAGCAGGCGGCACCUCCUCCAUCCGACCGGGCCGGCUGAUGAGGCACGGAUGCCGGAAGCAGGACGAGAACACCCCCGAAUGGCACCAUCGAGCCCUCCAGGCUCCCAUGUGGAGAGUCGCCACGCCAUCCUAUGGGGUGCCGCGGCUCGAGGCAGCUGAGAGGGAGAAAAGCAUGGCAUACAGGCAGGUUGUGCCGGGUUUCAGAGGGCCAUGACCUGAGGCUGGCCCGCCCCCUCCUUGAACUCUCCCGGCAUGCGCCUCGACCACGCCCUUAUUGUCCGCACGACGGGCGCCACCGCUCGCGCCCUCGAGCAGGAGCCCGGGCACGGACCGCGUGGAUCAAGGCAUGCAGCCCACGCGAGUCUCCGUGUGGCGUCGAUGGCGCAGCACGUGUGCGAGGAAGGACGAGAAUGCAGGGCGCAUGACCCGACUCGACGGCAGACGGCUCGUGCUGGACGACGAGGAUUUAGCGGUGGCGCAGCAGAGGCAGGUGGGCUGCGGCUGCGUGCGCGUAUUCGCUGAGCUGCUCGCGAUAGAAGGACGUGCUGGCGCGCGAGAAAGGGCAAUAUGUUUGGCUGCAUUCUUUUCUGUUGUUGUUCUGCUUUGCUUUUGGCUUCAUCUCUUCAUUUCUUUUCUUUCUCUCUCUGCACGCCGGCUGGCUUACUCUCGCGCUACUCGUCUGUUCGCGCUUGUGCGUGUGCAUUUUUCUCAGAGAGUGCCUUUCCUACCCCCCCCUCUUUCUCUGUCUCUGUCUUUAAAAAGAUUGGUUUCAGUACGGUGUUUGCCUGGUUUUUUGUUAGCUGUACUUUUCCCUUCCUCAUUUCGCGUGUCCUUUGUGUUCUGUUUUGGUGCCCUUCUUCCUUUAGCUUGCGCGCUCACGGUUGUCCAUGUGUGCGUCUCUCUCGCCCUCUCGUCGGUUUCGUCGUUGUGUGGCCUCGCCGUUUUACUAUCUUUCCUGCCGUUCGCAUACGUUGUUGUUUAGCGUGUGCUACACACCUGCGCACAGACUGUGGCGUCUUCGCCUUCUUUGGGGAUGGAAAAGAUGGUGAGAGGAGGGUCUGUUCUGCCCUUAGCUCUGCUCUGCUGUUUUAUUUCCCACCACUUUCACUACAGCCACCGCUCCUUCCUGGAUGUGCGCGCGUGCGUUUCCAAGCUGUUGCAUGGGUGUAUGCGUUGUCUUUCCCUGUUGUGCGCGUCUUCCUUUUUGUUUGUACGGGCUGGUGACCACGGGAAAACGAUCUUUUUCAGCGUUCGCUGUUGCGCGGAUCGCGUCAGCUUUAUAUGCCUCUCUCUUGUUUUCUGGUUUCGCUCCUGGCUUAAUUGGUGACGGGGGCGGACACCCCUCUCCGCGCGUGGCAUCGCAGGGCGCAGUGCACCCCUCCCCCUAUCCCUGCCAACGCCGAGCCACUUCAGGUGGUGAAAACUUCACGCACCUCGGACAUGGCGGAGGGCGGGAGGGUCAGAGCGAUGUACCGCCACGCAUGCCGGCGGUCAGGCUGUGGACAUUGUUGCGCUGGAGAGGCCAGCGACGGUGCGCACGCUUCUGCCAUCCACGCGAUAGGCGGCGUGUGCGCGUGACUCGAACGUAUCCCACACGGCCCUCGCAUUGCCUGCUGGUGGAGGCACAGCCUGCGCGACCGCGAGGAGAUGCACUGGGUGGCGACCAGCACAAUGGGUGGCGCGGCUGCGAGGCGACCGGCUAAGCGGCGGUGAUGGGUGGAGCCUGGCGCAGGGGGCCGUGCUCCGAUGACGGAGUCGGCGCACUCUCUAGCGCGUGUGUCCACGGCUGCUUCGCACCGCGCGGUGGGGUCUGUGGCAGGCUGGGGGCGGGUGGAGUGGCGUGCAACUCAUGUUGUAUGGCAGAG
rnacentral:misc_RNA from 1 species